AUUGAACGCUGGCGGCAGGCCUAACACAUGCAAGUCGAGCGGGGUUUUCGGACCUAGCGGCGGACGGGUGAGUAAUGCGUAGGAAGCUACCCGAUAGAGGGGGAUACCAGUUGGAAACGACUGUUAAUACCGCAUAAUGUCUACGGACCAAAGUGUGGGACCUUCGGGCCACAUGCUAUCGGAUGCGCCUAAGUGGGAUUAGCUAGUUGGUGGGGUAAUGGCUUACCAAGGCGACGAUCCCUAGCUGGUUUGAGAGGAUGAUCAGCCACACUGGAACUGAGACAAGGUCCAGACUCCUACAGGUGGCAGCAGUGGGUAAUAUUGGACAAUGGGCGCAAGCCUUAUCCAGCCAUGCCGCGUGUGUGAAGUAGGCCUUCGUGUUGUAAAGCACUUUCAGUAGGGAGGAAGGGUGUUGUGUUAAUAGCACAGCAUUUUGACGUUACCUCCAGAAGAAGCACCGGCUAACUCUGUGCCAGCCGCCGCCGUAACAC
rnacentral:rRNA from 1 species